GUGCCGGCAUUGGCAGCACAUGUACUAAAAUUGGAUGCAGAGAAGAUUAGUAUGGUCCUUGCACAGGAAUGACAUGGAAAUUUAUCAAAUGCAUUCCAUAGUU
ensembl:snRNA U6 U6 spliceosomal RNA